UCAGCAUUAACGAUGUUUAACCUCUUGUAGUUAUCCUUGCACUUUGAUUGCCGGUGAAGAAAUUUAUGGGGGGAAUCAUUGACUGAGAUGCUU